CCUACGGGUGGCAGCAGUGAGGAAUAUUGGUCAAUGGGCGCGAGCCUGAACCAGCCACGUCGCGUGAGGGAAGACGGCCCUACGGGUUGUAAACCUCUUUUGCCGGGGAGCAACGGGCGCCACGUGUGGCGCCACUGAGAGUACCCGGAGAACAAGCAUCGGCUAACUACGUGCCAGCAGCCGCGGUAAUACGGAGGAUGCGAGCUGUAUACGGCUUUAUUGGGGUUAAAGGGGGCGUAGGCGGAGCGUUAAGUCAGCGGUAAAAUUGAGGGGUUAAACCCCUUCCCGCCAUUGAAACUGGCGUUCUUGAGUGGAAGAGAGGUAUGCGGAAUGCGUGGUGUAGGGGUGAAAUGCAUAGAGAUCAAGCAGAACCCUGAUUGCGAAGGCAGCAUGCCGGCUUCCGACUGACGCUGAAGCACGAAAGCGUGGGGAUCGAACAGGAUUAGAUACCCGAGUAGUC
rnacentral:rRNA from 1 species